GCAUCCAUGGCUGAAUGGUUAAAGCGCCCAACUGGGCAAAUUCGUAGGUUCGAUUCCUGCUGGAUGCA